UACCUGGUGCUCCUCGAAUACCGAUAUCACCUGGAUCUCCUCGCACAAAGAUCGUCUCUCCAGGAGGACCAGGAUUUCCAGGCUGACCUAUGCAGUGAAUUAUACUGAUCUCUCUGGUGAUACCUGAAAGCAGAAAAGGCCAGCAAGAUACAGCCAAGCCAGGUUUCAUUCUGACAGAUGUACCUGGUAAUCCGGGAUCUCCAGGAGGCCCUUUUCGACCACGUGUACCAAGCAGAGGAGUUGGGUCACCUCUCUUGCCUGUUGAGUAGGACCUACUUUAAAAGGAACAAACAGUUAAAGAAUAUACUGAAAUGCAAAUUUUGCCUUCAGAUCCUUUUGGGCCAGUCAGUCCUGGAUUUCCAGGGAUUCCUGGUAAGCCAACGUCGCCCUAAUUUUUUUAAAAACAAAAUAAAAAUGUUUGACAUAUGAUAUGUGUAGCAUGAAUGAGGUAUACAAGCAUUUGGUUCUCUUACAUUGGUGAACAGACCAGCAACUACUGUGAAUAACCGAACGGUAUCUUAAGCUCAACAGAAAAGGAUGCUGUCUUUGUUACACGUCUAACACUGACCACUAACACUUCCAAGAAACUGUAGAUUAGACUUGCUUAUCAUUUUGGAUUUGUGUCUUUAUAGUUUAUGCUGACUCUUGGCUUGAACUGCUUAAAUUCCCCACAGAUGGCUUGAGUAAUUUGAUUUAAAAAGUACCAUAAAAAUGUACCAAAUAUUGUUGUAUGUUACCCAAAAUUUACUACAAACAUUAACCAGAAAUACGCUGUGAUGUAACAGUAAAAAUGUAAAAAUGUCUUUUUCCUUUUGAAUUACCUAUAAUCAGCAAAACACAGAUUAUAUCUUCAAAGAAAUAUAACAAAAGCCAAGCCAAGCUAUAUUCCUUUACCAAAAAAACCAACUGUGCUUUAUUAUACUUUAUGUAAUCUCACCACCUGUCUAGCAUACAAUCCAGUGAAAAAUUUUACCUUGUAUCCAUAUGUGAUAAAUGUGUCGUUUUGCAUAUUUGUUCUUGAGCGAUACUGCCUGCCUGGGUUCUGUUUGGUGCAAAUUAUCAGUAUGGGCACAGAAUAUUUGGUUGGUCUUGUCUACUGGCUUGGCCGCUCCACAUAGCAAGGUAGGAGGAAGCAGUUAUAUAUUAAUUUCAUACUUGUGCUGCUGCUAUGUUAUGAUCUCUGCAGUAAGUGAUUUGUCAAUCUGUUCUUAGGAACAGUGUUAAAGACUUGAUUGUGUAUCCAAUUUUUGGCCCUCUAAUUACAGCAGUGUAGCCUGGACUUCCACCAAAUGGCAAUUUAAUGAAAUCACAACAUGCAGUCAGGAGAGAGGGGAGAGGCCCCUUGUUGACUGUGACUACAGUUCCUUCUAGAGUGUAAUCAAAACAUUGAAGUGCUGCAUGAAUUUAUUUUUUCUAGUAUACUGACAGUCUCUUCUCAGGAGGUAUAUCUAAUGGGAAACCCUGGAUCCCCCCUUUGUCCUUUCUCAAGACGGAUGUUAAUGCAGCCACUGUCUCCUGGAGGUCCUCUUUCACCUUUGAACCAAACAUGUGGAAUGCAGGACAGAGUUUCAAGCUACCUUCAAUGAAUAAUUUCUACGGAGGCAGCCUGCACACCUUUUGAUCAUCCAAACUGCAGCUUUCUGACCUUUGAUUCUGUUACAGUUCAACCCAGAAUGCACCGAGGCUACACAGGAAGGGAACCUCUGGAGCGCGACGACUGCUGUGUAAAGCCGUCCUCCCAGAACUGAGUACAGCAGUAGGACCAAGCAAAGCAAUGGAUCUAUUAAUACACAGAAUGAUAUUCUCGCCAUAUAAAUUGCUGCUGAACCUACUGGGUGGUCCAGAUUUGUACAGUAGAUGGAUAUGGCCAAGUUUUAGUGGACUUCCAUGCUGAUUUUAAAGUGACACAACCAGAACGUAAGAAAACUGAAGAGUUGAUGAGACAAGGUAAAAAAUUUAAUUUCUUGGUAUCUCCUUAAAUGACAAAUUCCAGUGCCAGUCUCUGACAAUCUGUCUUUAGGAUGUUAGGUGUAUGACCCUCUCUGGAUGGCAGCUUCAUAUUUGCUGUGUUUUCACUGUUGGUACACUCCUCCAUAGUGGCAUAUGUGUUUGGAUUAUUUUAUUGACUGGUAAUGUUUUCUUUUCCCAUAAAAAAUUCGGGAGACUCGACUUGCCAACAGUUUAUUUAAAAAAAUAAAAAUGCCAAACGUCUCAAACAGAAGCGUAUCACUACUGUAUUUUGUGACCUGGAGUCUUCUUAAAAUGAAAGCUUAUAAUCACUUAUCAAUUUUACUGAUAUCCCUAUUAAGCAUUAAACUGUAUUUGUUCUGUAAGUUUUUAUAGCUCUAUAUGACAGUUGCCAAGAACACUUUGCACUGCCUGUAAAGAGCAUUCAUUAUUUUAAUGAGACUCAUUCCACUAGUAGCAGAGACAAAUGGUCUUAAAGCAAUUUCGACAGGACUCAUAUCCUCCUUUGUAUUUUGUCUGAAGAAGGCAUUUGAUGUUUUUUUCAUAUUUAUCACAGAAUGUUUGAGGUUAGAAGGGACCUCUGGACAUCUUCUUGUUCAACCCUCCUGCUCAAGCAGGACUACCUAGAGCUGGUUGCCCCGGACCGUGUCCAGACAACUUCAGAAUACCUGCAAGGACAGAGACCACUGCUGAGCAGAGGGGAAGGACCACCCCCCUCAGCCUGCUGGCGAUACUUUUCCUGAUGCAGCCCAGGAUAUCAUUAGCUGCCUUUGCAGCAAGGGCAUGUUGCUGUCUCAUGUUCAAGAUCCACAGAGCAUUGCCAAUGUCCAGAAUUAGGGAUCAAAAGGCUGUGGGAUAAUCGAAGGAGACUGAAGAAUGCACUGUUUUUUCUAUUCAGUGCCUUGUCUCAAGUUUGCUAAUGAUGCCCCCAACUAAAACAAUAUGCACAUUAGUAUCUGAAUGAUCCCGCAUUGUUGUGAAGCUGAUAAUGGGCAAAUGGGAGAAAACACAGAACAUCCAUGGGCAAUUUCUUCCCCCUGCAAGUAUGACUACAUAAAAGAAAUCUUGGCUGAAGAAGCUGGUCUAGCACUCUCCUGGCAGUCCCAGCUUUGAAACAAGGGGGCUGAACUCUGGCUUCCUACUUCCCUCUCUCCCACAAGGUGGCCUUGGGGAAAGGGAAUAAGGAAGAGAGCACUAGCACAUUCCUCUCGUGACCACAGACUGCCAGGAUGGAACAUGUUCAUGCAGGCAUGGGAAGGAACAACAUACACGCCAACUCAAAGUCAUAAGGCAAGCCUGGAUGGCCUGGGUAUCCAGACGGGCCCAUUGUACCUCUUGACCCUCGAGGUCCCUGGAAAAGAUGGCAAA